CCAAGGCGACGAUCCAUAGCCGACCUGAGAGGGUGCCCGGCCACAUUGGGACUGAGACACGGCCCAAACUCCUACGGGAGGCAGCAGUGGGGAAUAUUGCACAAUGGGCGAAAGCCUGAUGCAGCGACGCCGCGUGAGCGAAGAAGUAUUUCGGUAUGUAAAGCUCUAUCAGCAGGGAAGAUAAUGACGGUACCUGACUAAGAAGCACCGGCUAAAUACGUGCCAGCAGCCGCGGUAAUACGUAUGGUGCAAGCGUUAUCCGGAUUUACUGGGUGUAAAGGGAGCGCAGGCGGUGCGGCAAGUCUGAUGUGAAAGCCCGGGGCUCAACCCCGGUACUGCAUUGGAAACUGUCGUACUAGAGUGUCGGAGGGGUAAGCGGAAUUCCUAGUGUAGCGGUGAAAUGCGUAGAUAUUAGGAGGAACACCAGUGGCGAAGGCGGCUUACUGGACGAUAACUGACGCUGAGGCUCGAAAGCGUGGGGAGCAAACAAGAUUCUAUCCCCUGGUAGUCCACGCCGUAAACGAUGAAUACUAGGUGUUGGGAAGCAUUGCUUCUCGGUGCCGUCGCAAACGCAGUAAGUAUUCCACCCUGGGGAGUACGUUCGCAAGAAUGAAACUCAAAGGAAUUGACGGGGGACCCGCACAAGCGGUGGAGCAUGUGGUUAAAUUCGAAGCAACGCGAAGAACCUUACCAAGUCUUGACAUCCCUCUGACCGGUACUUAACCGUACCUUCUCUUCGGAGCAGGAGUGACAGGUGGUGCAUGGUUGUCGUCAGCUCGUGUCGUGAGAUGUUGGAUUAAGUCCCGCAACGAGCGCAACCCUUAUCUUUAGUAGCCAGCGGUCUGGCCGGGCACUCUAGAGAGACUGCCAGGGAUAACCUGGAGGAAGGCGGGGAUGACGUCAAAUCAUCAUGCCCCCUAUGACUUGGGCUACACACGUGCUACAAUGGCGCAAACAAAGGGAAGCAAAGCUGUGAAGCCGAGCAAAUCUCAAAAAUAACGUCUCAGUUCGGACUGUAGUCUGCAACCCGACUACACGAAGCUGGAAUCGCUAGUAAUCGCAGAUCAGAAUGCUGCGGUGAAUAAAAAGGCCCCUCUUGCACA
rnacentral:rRNA from 1 species